CCUACGGGGGGCAGCAGUAGGGAAUCUUCCACAAUGGGCGAAAGCCUGAUGGAGCAACGCCGCGUGGGUGAAGAAGGUCUUCGGAUCGUAAAACCCUGUUGUUAGAGAAGAAAGUGCGUGAGAGUAACUGUUCACGUUUCGACGGUAUCUAACCAGAAAGCCACGGCUAACUACGUGCCAGCAGCCGCGGUAAUCCGUAGGUGGCAAGCGUUAUCCGGAUUUAUUGGGCGUAAAGGGAACGCAGGCGGUCUUUUAAGUCUGAUGUGAAAGCCUUCGGCUUAACCGGAGUAGUGCAUUGGAAACUGGGAGACUGGAGUGCAGAAGAGGAGAGUGGAACUCGAGGUGUAGCGGUGAAAUGCGUAGAUAGAUGGAAGAACACCAGUGGCGAAAGCGGCUCUCUGGUCUGUAACUGACGCUGAGGUUCGAAAGCGUGGGUAGCAAACAGGAUUAGAUACCCGAGUAGUC
rnacentral:rRNA from 1 species